rnacentral:rRNA from 1 species
ACAGCAGCAGCCGCGGUAAUACGAAGGGUGCAAGCGUUACUCGGAAUUACUGGGCGUAAAGCGCGCGUAGGUGGUUGUUUAAGUCUGUUGUGAAAGCCCUGGGCUCAACCUGGGAAUUGCAGUGGAUACUGGGCGACUAGAGUGUGGUAGAGGGUAGUGGAAUUCCCGGUGUAGCAGUGAAAUGCGUAGAGAUCGGGAGGAACAUCCAUGGCGAAGGCAGCUACCUGGACCAACACUGACACUGAGAGACGAAAGCUAGGGGAGCAAAUGGGAUUAGAUACCCCAGUAGUCCCUGUCUCUUAUAC